UAAUAUUAUAAAUGUGGAAGUGUGUCUGUCUGUCUGUCUGCUACCUUUUCACGGCCAAACAGUUUAACCGAUUUUGACGAAAGGUACAGGAUAGCUUGCAUCCCGGGGAAGGACAGAGCCUACUUUUUAUCCCGGAAAAUCAAUGAAUUCCGAUGGAACUUU